UGCAAAUCUGGUUCGAUAAGGACCAAAA
rnacentral:sRNA from 1 species